rnacentral:rRNA from 1 species
CCGCCCGUCACAUCACGGAAGCGGGCUGCACUAGAAGCGCCAGGGCUAACCGCAAGGAGGCAUGGUGCGACGGUGUGGUUCGUGACUGGGGUG